UACGUAGGGGGCAAGCGUUGUCCGGAUUUAUUGGGCGUAAAGCGCGCGUAGGCGGCAAGGUAUGUCGUGCGUGAAAUCUCCCGGCUUAACUGGGAGGGGCCGUGCGAAACUGCCUGGCUUGAGGUCGGAAGGGGAAAGUGGAAUUCCGGGUGUAGUGGUGGAAUACGUAGAUAUCCGGAGGAACACCAGCGGCGAAGGCGGCUUCUGGUCCGAUUCUGACGCUGAGGCGCGAAAGCGUGGGGAGCGAUCCGG
rnacentral:rRNA from 1 species